rnacentral:rRNA from 1 species
AGUGAACGCUGGCGGCGUGCCUAAUACAUGCAAGUCGAGCGACCAGACGAGAAGCUUGCGCCUCUGACGUUAGCGACUGACGGGUGAGUAACACGUAGAUAACCUACCUAUAAGACUGGGAUAACUUCGGGAAACCACAGCUAAUACCGGAUAAUAUGACGAACCGCAUGAUUCAAUAGUUCAAGACACUUUUGCUGUUACUUAUAGCUGGAUCCGCGUCGCAUUAGCUAGUUGGUAAGGUAACGGCUUACCAAGGCAACGAUGCGUAGCCGAGCUGAGAGGAUGAUCGGCCACACUGGAACUGAGACACGGUCCAGACUCCUACGGGAGGCAGCAGUAGGGAAUCUUGCGCAAUGGGCGAAAGCCUGACGGAGCAACGCCGCGUGAGUGAUGAAGGUCUUCGGAUCGUAAAGCUCUGUUAUUAGGAAAGAAAAAAAGUGUAUGAAACUCUGGAUGUCUUGACGGUACCUAAACAGAAAGCCCCGGCUAACUUCGUG